rnacentral:rRNA from 1 species
GAUGAACGCUGGCGGCGUGCUUAACACAUGCAAGUCGAACGGAAAGGCCUCUUUCGGGGGGUACUCGAGUGGCGAACGGGUGAGUAACACGUGAGUAACCUGCCCUUGACUUUGGGAUAACUUCAGGAAACUGGGGCUAAUACCGGAUAGGAGCUCCUGCUGCAUGGUGGGGGUUGGAAAGUUUCGGCGGUUGGGGAUGGACUCGCGGCUUAUCAGCUUGUUGGUGGGGUAGUGGCUUACCAAGGCUUUGACGGGUAGCCGGCCUGAGAGGGUGACCGGCCACAUUGGGACUGAGAUACGGCCCAGACUCCUACGGGAGGCAGCAGUGGGGAAUAUUGCACAAUGGGUGGAAGCCUGAUGCAGCAACGCCGUGUGCGGGAUGACGGCCUUCGGGUUGUAAACCGCUUUCGCUCAUGACGAAGCUUUGUGUGACGGUAGUGGGUAAAGAAGCACCGGCUAACUACGUG